rnacentral:rRNA from 1 species
UACGUAGGGGGCUAGCGUUGUCCGGAAUCAUUGGGCGUAAAGAGCGUGUAGGCGGCCCGGUAAGUCCGCUGUGAAAGUCGGGGGCUCAACCCUCGAAUGCCGGUGGAUACUGUCGGGCUAGAGUGCGGAAGAGGCGAGUGGAAUUCCUGGUGUAGCGGUGAAAUGCGCAGAUAUCGAGAGGAACACCUGCGGCGAAGGCGGGUAGCUGGGCCGACACUGACGCUGAGGCGCGAAAGCUAGGGGAGCGAACGGG